CAGUAGCCGCGGGAAAACGUAGGGGGCAAGCGUUGUCCGGAAUCAUUGGGCGUAAAGCGCGUGUAGGCGGCUCGAUAAGUCUGCUGUGAAAGUCCAGGGCUCAACCCUGGGAUGCCGGUGGAUACUGUCGAGCUCGAGUCCGGAAGAGGCGAGUGGAAUUCCUGGUGUAGCGGUGAAAUGCGCAGAUAUCAGGAGGAACACCAAUGGCGAAGGCAGCUCGCUGGGACGUGACUGACGCUGAGACGCGAAAGCGUGGGGAGCAAACAGGAUUAGAUACCCGGGUAGUCCCUGUCUCUUAUAC
rnacentral:rRNA from 1 species